AUUAUAGCAAGGGAAUAUGCAGAGCAUAGCAAUCUUUUGUAGCAGGUUCCCCCAAUAAGAGAUGGGACUCCAAAUUGAGGGUGAAGUAACUGAAGUUUUAAUGAAACACUCUGCUUUUAUGUACAUUUUACACACAUAGUGCGCCCACAGGGUUUUGAAGAACAACCAAUCAAACACGUAAUAUAUAGUAAAACACUCCCAUUCAUUCCCACAAAAUCCUCCCCUCUGCCUGGGCAAACUCUCCCAUGGGCCAGUCAGAAGGUAGGAGGCGGGCAACCAGGCCCCUCCAAAAACCAGUGUGCGAGGCCACUGCUAUAUUCAAAUAUAAUAUAUAAAACGUUCCCUAUGUGAAUGCAGUGGUGCUCAGACAAUAAGCAAUUUAUUGCACUUGUUUUACUUUUGCUGUGCGGAGAUACAAGUAUGCUUGCAGUGUCACAACAGACAGUACAAGCUUAGUAAAUGCAGACAUAAUAUGACAGAGGCUUGGCAUUUAAAAUAUCAGCACAUUGUUGGUAAUUAAAACAAACAAUUGGAACUAACACGUAUAAGCAUUAAACCGGUCGAGCUACAUAGUAGAGAGUAACCUAUAAACAUGAGUGUACUAUAUGUAGGAAUCCAUUGGGUCCUUUUUCUCGGGAAUUUACACAAACCGCAGCAAGGCUUACAAUUCUGACAAGUAAGGAAGGAAAAGAAAAAAAAAAACCUCAGCUUAAAAACAAAUAUCUGUGGAGCCAGCAAAAUAUGAAGGAAACUCCUGGGAGAAGUAUCCAGAGGGCAGUCCCCAACAACAUGCAACAGUUUAGCAGAUGCCCAGUGCAGGAAUACACAUGCUGCGUUUGUUAGAAGUGUUGCGAGUUGCAGUAGGACGGGUACGAUACAUGGCACUCAUCCAGCCCCAGGCCGGUUUGCUGGCCUGCAUCUUCGAGCAACAAACAUGGAGGCUCAUGGCGUCCCAAUCCUCCCCCGAUGGGGGUAGCACGAGGCCAUGGUGGAAUAAUGACACAAUCUGCAGGCGGUCCUCUGUCCGUGCAGUCGAAGAUGAGUAGUCUUGCCCCUUGCGGCCAUCAGUCUAGAUGGGCGGACAUCAGAGGGAACUUGUGCUGUAUCUGGAAGAAUGCCCGAAGUAGGCCCUGCCAUCACAUGGCCCCUGUUCCUCUGGUUGCUCGUCGGAAGCUUAUGUGACAUUUGGGCUAGGUGUACUGCUAAUGAAGCCCAAAACUGUGUGAAGUGCACAUCCAGUCACUUUAAGAAGUGCUCAAGAAAUGCAGGGCAUUCCCUCCCCGGCUGUAGAGACUUGGUGCCAUAAGAGGGAAGUGUGGACGCCAUCUUGUUGGGACAAGCUGCUUUCUGGGGUUGGAGUAGGUAAUGUGUAUUCUUGUCUAGUGGAGACCGGGAUAACCCCCAUCGGUCCAGUGGGGGGGGGUGGGGGGAAGAGGGAGUGCGAAUGGGGAAGCAAGAUGUUUUUGCAGGAGCACUGCUUCACUUCGUACAGGGGAGGCGAAUCUGCUAGGCCCCGGAGUCUACAAUAUGUGCACAUUAUACGAUCAACCAAAGUGAUAUGAGGCACCCCGGUCGGCUCCUGGAGCAGGUAAGUCUCAGAUUAGGGCUCUUUGACAAGCUGGGAAUCAAUUAAAUCACAAAAUGUGAAGAUCAGGCUUGGAGCUCAGAUGAUGUCCGUCCAGCUGAUGAAGAGCAGGCCCUCCCCCCAGUUUUUUGCACUUUUUAUGAAAAAAAUGACCACUCCAAUUUUGAUUAUUUUUUUCCCCCAUUCUGCAGAGGGUUUCUUCCAGGGUUGUAGUGAAUAAGCAAAGGAAAAUAUGGGCUAUAAAAUGUAUUCGUAAUCACAAUAAGCAUAGUUCUAAAUGUUUAAAGAGUGCCAUCUGGUGGAAUAGUUAAUAAAACUGGUAGUGAAUUUAAAUUGCAGCAAUACAGUUGCAUUGUAACUGGAUUAACAUGUAUUCCUGACACUACAGUCCUGAUGUGGCAUUGUGGCAUGUCUCGCAGCAGCUGGCUGUUUGUAGACUUGUACCCAUGGUAUGUCAUGAUAUGGAUACUCUCAACAUGAGAACUUUUUCCCCCCCAAUAUUGUCCCAUUUCUCUGUGGAUUCUAAUUCUUUGUAUUUUAAGUGUGUUGUUACCUGAGUUUUUCCUUCUAUAAAUCUG